UUUACUUAACUCGUACAACUCCGUCUGUUAACGGACAUUUCGCUAAAAGCGUUGCCGUUUUGAAUAUCAAAAGUAGGUAAAAUAACGGUUCUGUACAACGGAUUCCGAAACAAAGUUAAUCUCAACGACCGUCCUGUAUACAUCACAUGUUGUAUGCGUAUAAAAAUAAGAAAAAGAAAAAAAAAACAGCGUUUCACGCGACAAUUGAUUAUGUGAAGCGAUACGGUUACGGCGGCGAACUUUAAGCAAUGCGGGAGCGAAUCUUUGCGACCGCCGCGAUCCAGGACGCCUAUAGCCGCGACCGACAAUAGCUGUACGCCCAACGAAAUACCAUUCCGGAUCGUUCGAAUUCCAUAGAAAAUAAGGAAAACCGCGCUCGCCCUUUGCGAAAAAAGGGCGCUGUUCCGAAAACCGUACGGUUCGACGCGCCACCGCGGCAGCUGCCCCCUUACGGUUAUCGCAUCGAACGAAAGGCGAGUCGCCGGUACGAUAAACGCGAUGAAACCGCGGCGUUGCGUUCGAUAACGCGCGGGAUAAUUGUGCGGCGAAAUACGUUUGGGAAAAAAAAAAAAAAAAAAAAAAAAACCUAGUGGAAAACAACAAAAC